rnacentral:rRNA from 1 species
UACGUAGGGGGCAAGCGUUGUCCGGAUUUAUUGGGCGUAAAGAGCGUGUAGGCGGCCUUACAGGUCAGCUGUGAAAACUCGAGGCUCAACCUCGAGACGUCGGUUGAAACCGUAUGGCUAGAGUCCGGAAGAGGAGAGUGGAAUUCCCGGUGUAGCGGUGAAAUGCGCAGAUAUCGGGAAGAACACCCAUGGCGAAGGCGGCUCUCUGGGACGGUACUGACGCUGAGACGCGAAAGCGUGGGGAGCGAACAGG